CAGAUCGCUUUCUUUGAUGGACGAGUCUUGAGUCCACAGUGUGGCGACACUGGAGCAAUUGUGCAAGUGCUUGUUAGAGAACAAGGGUACUGAGCGUGACCAUAGUAAGUAGUCACUUGGAUGUCUAUCCACUCGUCAGUGAAUUACUUGAUGCUGCAGUUGUAUGACUGGUCCUUUGACCUGCGAUGCCUCGGCUAUUCACAGUGAGGUUGCUGUAGUUUGACGAGCACAUAAA
rnacentral:lncRNA from 1 species